GAUGAACGCUAGCGGCAGGCUUAAUACAUGCAAGUCGAGGGGCAUCAAGGUACACGAAAGUGUAUUGUUGGCGACCGGCGGACGGGUGAGUAAUAGGUAGGUAACCUACCUCAUACUGAGGCAUAGCUGGGAGAAAUUCCAGGUAAUUCCUCAUGAGGUUAUAUGACACAUGUGAUAUAAUCAAAGGUAUCGCAAGGUACUGGUAUGAGAUGGGCUUACUGACCAUUAGCUAGUUGGUGAGAUAAGAGCUCACCAAGGCGAAGAUGGUUAGGGGUUUUGAGAGAGAGAUCCCCCACAUUGGAACUGAGAUACGGUCCAGACUCCUACGGGAGGCAGCAGUAGGGAAUAUUGGGCAAUGGGCGGAAGCCUGACCCAGCCAUGCCGCGUGAAGGAAGACGGCCUUAUGGGUUGUAAAACUUUCUUUACUAUGCGACUAACUAGAUUUACGAGAUAAUUCUAUAGAAUGUAGCAUAGCAAAAAGCACCGGA
rnacentral:rRNA from 1 species